UACGAAGGGGGCUAGCGUUGUUCGGAAUUACUGGGCGUAAAGCGCGCGCAGGCGGCUUAGCAAGUCAGGGGUGAAAGCCCGGGGCUCAACCUCGGAACUGCCUUUGAGACUGCUAGGCUCGAGACCGAGAGAGGAGAGUGGAAUUCCCAGUGUAGAGGUGAAAUUCGUAGAUAUUGGGAAGAACACCAGUGGCGAAGGCGGCUCUCUGGCUCGGUACUGACGCUGAGGCGCGAAAGCGUGGGGAGCAAACAGG
rnacentral:rRNA from 1 species